rnacentral:tRNA from 1 species
GUCAGCUUGGCCGAGUGGUUAAGGCGUAUGACUUGAAAUCAUAUGGGUGUUCCCGCGUAGGUUCAAAUCCUGCAGCUGACG